rnacentral:lncRNA from 1 species
CUGUACAUCCCUCUAUCUCUCCCCAGUCCUAGCUCCUCUGUCCUCCCACCUGCCAAAACCUCUAUCUCCCUUCCCGAAUUGAAUUCCAGUUUUACUCGGUUACGUAAGGAAAUUAGAGCUAAGGAGUGAUUCCAAAGAUUAUAAUCAAGCACAAGAGGAAUAUGUAAUUUUGUUAUGUUUUUUUUAUGAUUGAAAACUACAUAUAUGAUUGUGAUUUUAGUAAGAAGAACUUUUUAUAAUUCGAUUCAUAAUAAUUGGUAGCAUGGUUGGCAUGUUUUUACUCCCUUUUUGAUUACUUUGCAAACUCUUGAAGAAUUCCUAAAUGUCUAGGACGAUAAAAAUCCUGCUUGAAAUUGAACACCUUAUAGUGGAGUCCCUGUUACUUGAGGAGGUGGAAGGGUGGUCUAUGUAAUAACUGAACACUUAGAUAUAAUUUUCCUAAAUGGCUACCUUCUAUUCAGACCUGCAACGUCACUAUUGGUUGGAAUUGUUUUACCCACUAUCUAGUGAAGUUGAUUUUGGACAAAGAAGUAACGAUAUAUGUUUAUGCUUAUAUGUUUACCUUUAUAUUUCCACUAUUUCUUCCCUUUAUUAAAUUUAUCAGCCUACUUCUCUUUGCUGAGUUUUGUCCUUGUGUUCUUUUAUUGUGUUUUUGUAGUUUUGAGUUUGUAGCUGUUUGGUGGACGGGUGCUCAUGUAUAGCAGUUUUUAUUGCCAAAAAAUCUUAUUAUUUUUGGUGUUAUUUUUCUCUCCCCUGUCAGAUUCAUUUGUGCAGAUCAAAGAAGAAAGUGAUGAAGUUGACAAAUCCAAAUCCCUGGAAGCUAUGCCUGCAAACUACCAGAAAGAGAAACGACAAUUGUCAGGAUUUAAAAUCAAACUUUAUCUGCAAUCACCAAGCAAGGCAAGUUCAAGAAUAUAGUGCUGCUAUCUUCGCCCUUUUUUAGCAUUAUUAGUUUUUUGCUAUAGUUUUCGUUAUAUUGUAUCAACUAGCUUCUGUGGGGUAUAAAAUGGACAAGAGUUGGUUGCGCGCAAUUAAAUGAUCUAAGGCUUAUAUUAAUGGGGUAAACUCUUUUAUGAAUUUUUUUGAAACUCAUGUAGGUACAGAGUGCGACAUUCGAUGCCCAUGUAUAGAUUGUUUGAACUUAAUAAUUCAAGAUCAAAAAAUAGUUAAAGAUCAUAUUUUGGAGCGAGGGAUAGAUCCAAGGUACACAACAUGAUUUUAUCACGGUGAACCAUCAAGUUUGAAUAAUUUAAGGAAUCCACAUACCAAUGAGGGUGAUAGGAUUGAUAAUGAUUUGUUUGAAGAAGAUGAUGAAUAAGAUGAUGGUGUUAAUGACAUGUUAUUUGACCUUGGUCAGCAACACUAUAAAGCUCAUGCUGAAAAUAUCUCAGAUGACAAUAACAUUAAUAUUGGUGGUGUUCCAGCAUAUCUCGAGGCACUUAUGAUGGGUGCUCAAACAAAAUUAUACCCUCGAUGUAAGAAGAUUUCAAGGAUUUCUUUUAUCAUACCAUUACUUCACCUCAAAGUGUAUAAUAAGGUGACUAAUAAAACUAUAGAUAUGAUGUUGAGGAUGAUGAAAUUAUCUCUUCUUGAUGGUGAGACGCUUCCAAGUUCUUACUACGAAGCUAAAAAAUUAUUGCGAGAUUUGGGAUUGGGAUAUAAAUGUAUCCAUGCUUGUAAGUACGACUGUAUUUUAUUCUGGAAGGAGAAUAGAAACGUGGAAACUUACCCUACUUGUGGAACUUUUCGAUGGAAAGUCAAUGAUGGUAUAGGGAAGAAGAUACCUCAAAAGGUUUUAAGGUAUUUUCGACUGAUACUAGGCUUGAACGCUUGUUCAUGUCCCAAAAAACAUCUAAAAAGAUGGUGUCGCAUAAAGAAAAACGAAUUGAUGAUGAUUAUAUGAGACAUCUGACUGAUUCAAUAGCUUCGAAAGACUUUGAUAGUAAGUUUCCUUUGUUUGCAAAUGAUCCUAGAAAUGUUAGACUAGCUCUAGCUACAAAUGGUUUUAAUCCAUUUGGAAACUUAAGCACCACUUAUAGCACGUGGCCUGUUAUUGUAGCUCUAUUAAAUCUUCCCCCUUGGGAUUGCAUGAAACAACUAUUCUUUAUGUUAUCUUUACUAAUUCUAAGGAAGAAAUCACCAGGAAAGGACAUUGAUGUCUAGUUACAACCGAUAAUUGAAAAGUUAAAAAAAAUUGUGGGUUGAAGGCAUAAAAACCUUUGAUGUUUCUUAUAAAAAAAAAUCAAAUUCAUGUUGCUGUUUUAUGGACAAUAAACGAUUUUCCUGCAUAUGGUGAUUUGUCUGGAUGGAGUACUAAAGGGUACAUGGCUUGCCCAGUUUGUAAUGACCAAAUGUGUUCUCAGGGGUUGCGAAACAAGGUGUGUUACAUGGGACACUGUCGCUAUUUACCAAAAGAUCAUGCUUAGAGAAGAAACAGAAAGUUCAAUGGUAAAAGAGAAGAUAGCGAGGCACUUAGAGAAUUAAAUAGGGAGGAUGUGUUAAUGUAGUUAGGGAGACUAGAAGAUUUGACACCAGGGAAGCAUGGUAAUAGAAAGAGAAAGCGCAAGCCUGAAGAAUUGAAUUGAACUAAAUUUAGCAUUUUUUUCGAUUUGCCUUACUGGAGUAAGUUGAAGUUAAGGCACAAUUUAGAUGUAAUGUAUAUUGAAAAGAAUAUGUGUGAGAGUAUAUUGGGGACCUUGAUGAGUAUAGAUGGGAAAACAAAAGAUACAGUCAAGUCAAGGCAAGAUUUGGAGGACAUGAACAUUCGCAAGGAGUUGCACUUAAUUAAGAGGAGUGAUGGAAAAUAUGUGAAACCUACUGCAUGUUAUGUCAUAAAAAAGAAAGAAAGGUAGGAUUUCUAUGGAGUUUCUAAAAUCUAUUAAAUUUCCUGAUGGGUAGCUUCUAAUAUCUCUCGUUGUGUUAGUUCAAGUGAUCAAAAGAUAUCUGGAUUGAAAACUCAUGACUGCCAUAUACUUUUACAACGGUUACUUCUUGUUGGUAUUCAAGGAUCGUUAAACAAUGAAGUUUCCGAUGUACUAGCAGAGUUGGGUGAUUUUUUCAACGGUUGUGUUGUAAGAAGUUCAAGAAAUCUGAAUUGGAGAAAAUGAGAGAGAGAUAUUUGCUUGAUUUUAUGUAAGCUUGAAAAAAUAUAUCCUCCAGCUUUUUGACAUAAUGGUUCAUUUACCUAUUCAUUUACCGAAUGAGGCAUUAAUUGGUGGACCGAUUCAAUUUAGAUGGAUGUAUCCAAUUGAAAGGUAAAAAAAACACAUAUUCAUUAUAUAAAUUAUUUUGUCUAAGUUGUUAUUGAUCGAUGUCUUUGUUAAUUAUGUUUUUGUAGAUCAUUAUGUAAAUUAAAGCAUAUUGUGCGCAAUAAAGCUCAACUAGAAGGUUCAGUUGCAGAAGCUUACAUUGCAAAAGAGUGUUUAACUUUUUGCUCAAUGUACUUGCGGGGAAUUGAGAAUAGAUUCAAUCGAGAUGAGCGAAAUAAUGAUAUAGUAACUGUUAAUAUUUUAUCAAUUUUAUCUCAAAAAUGCCGCUAUUUUGGAGCAACUAAAUAUGUUAAGUUAUUAGAGGAAGAGUUCAAUGUGACACAAUGGUUUGUCUUCCUAAAUUGUGAAGAGGUUGAACCAUAUUUUGAGUGAGUAUAUAAUUAGGUUUUACACUUACAAAAACAAUAUGUUAAGUAUUUGAAAUUUGUUGAAAUGCAUAUUGAUAUUAUUUAUUACAGGAGGCAUAAAGAGG